AACGAACGCUGGCGGCGUGGAUAAGACAUGCAAGGCGAACGGGACAGACCGAGUAGCAAUAUUUGGAGUGUUCAGUGGCGAACGGGUGCGUAACACGUGGAUAACAUUCCGGAAAGCGGGGAAUAGCCCAGGGAAACUUGGAUUAAUACCGCAUGUGGCCGCAAGGCUAAAGACGGGGACCGCAAGGCCUGUCACUUUCCGAUUGGUCCGCGGCCUAUCAGCUAGUUGGCGGGGUAAUGGCCCACCAAGGCUACGACGGGUAGCUGGUCUUAGAGGACGACCAGCCACACUGGAACUGAGACACGGUCCAGACACCUACGGGUGGCAGCAGUCGAGAAUCUUUCACAAUGGGGGCAACCCUGAUGGAGCGACGCCGCGUGGAGGAUAAGGUCUUCGGAUUGUAAACUCCUGUCAUGCGAGAACAAGGUACUCAGGCUAAUAACCUGAUUGUUUGAUGGUACCGCAAGAGGAAGAGACGGCUAACUCUGUGCCAGCCGCCGCGGUAAGAC
rnacentral:rRNA from 1 species